rnacentral:rRNA from 1 species
GUACACGCUGUGACUAGCAUAUCAAUAAGCGGAGGAAAAGAAACUAACAAGGAUUCCCUCAGUAACGGCGAGUGAAGCGGGAAGAGCUCAAAUUUGAAAUCUUGAAAGGUCACCUUUCACGAAUUGUAGUUUAAAGAAGUGUUUUCUGUUACGAUCGUAAUAUAAGUCCUUUGGAAUAGGACAUCACAGAGGGUGAGAAUCCCGUCUAUGAUUGCGAUUUGUAGCUUUGUGAUACACUUUCAAAGAGUCGGGUUGUUUGGGAAUGCAGCCCAAAACGGGAGGUAAAUUUCUUCUAAGGCUAAAUAUUGGCGAGAGACCGAUAGCGAACAAGUACCGUGAGGGAAAGAUGAAAAGAACUUUGAAAAGAGAGUUAAAUAGUACGUGAAAUUGUCAAAAGGGAAGCGUUUAACACCAGUGUUGUUUUCUGAAAAUCAACCUCUGUUAGCUUUAUGCAUGUUUGUUUAGGACCUAAUCAGCUAUCUUGCAUGUUCUAUUGUUUGCAGUGGUGCACUUUUCAGUUUACAGGUCAACAUCAGCUUUUUUUACCGUAAAAAAGUUAAAGAAAGGUAGCUCAUGGCUCCGGUCGUGAGUGUUAUAGUCUUUUUCCUAUGCGGUAGGAGAGACUGAGGUCUGCAGUGUAGGCUAUUUGGCUAGAUACUCAGGUGCUAUGUGAUACCAUUUCAUAAACAACUUGUUGAUUAUGUUUUGUCUAUUGCAUACUCGCUUGUACUAUCAUACCUACGCUUAGGAUGUUGAGUAGCGACAUACGCAC